CCCACUUUUCAGUUUAACUUGCAACCUUAGCAUUGUCUCCAUCACUUUCUCAAGCCUAGACCAUUAGCGAUACAUAAACCAGGCCCUGCUCUUUUUUAGUGUUUGCUGAUUUCCGAGGUAGGCGUGCUCACGCUGAAAAUUCCCCAGUUGGCGCUCUUCCACUGAGCUAGUUCAACGUCUCCAGCCCCGCCCCCAAAAGUCCCCCCACGUUCGACUUCAGAGAUCGGCUCGUCUGACGCCGAUAUUUUAGUGGAGGAAGCAGCCCCCAGAGGAGCUCAGGGACUUCGGAGCCCAGGUCCUUUGAUGUCACAUCCACCCAUCCAAGCAGCCUUGUCAUUUCUUCUAGAAUCCGGGCUGCCGGGGAGUCAGGUGCUCCGGGCUGUACCCUGAAGACUCCCUAUUUUUAGCCACACCUGUGAUUUCCCUGGCCUCGAAGGAAGCCCUCCGGCCGUCGUUUCUGGAAAGUUCAGGAUCUGGCAAGCAGUAUAGACCUAAGAAAUGCUGUUUCAUUCACACACCACUGUGCCAGGCACCGUUAUCUCAUCUGAUACGCGGAGGAGGCCUGGCCUGGCAAGGGAGUUUCCUUCUGAGGAGGCACGGAGAUGCUCUUGGAUCUUGGCUCUAGUAAAGCUCUUAGACAGCGCCUAAGAUUUAAAACAGGACACACGCCCUCUCCAUUGAUCCACUCAACAACCCUGGAAGGUGGACACCCUCUCCCACCCAGUUCUGCCCCACCAUCCUCUCUUCUGUCUUUUAGGGACCCUCCCCAGCCUGGCGGCAUCCUAAGUUCUAAGGUCCCUCCCAACUCUGCCGUUCUCUGUUCUAUGUUCCAAGGUCCUUCCAACCACACUUUCUUGUGCCAGCAAUGGAGACUGAGGAGCGGCUGAAAAGGUAGAAGGAAGCAGGAGAGAGCAGGAUCACAAAAAUUCGGAGGGAAGAGUAUCCUGGAAGAACAGCUAAAGAAGGUUGAGGACCAAGAAAAGACCGUCAGAUGUGGCAUUUAAGAGAUCUGGUAACUAUGAGAAGAGAGACUGGGAGAAAAAAGAAGAGCGUGGGAGAUGCUGUCAAGGGGUUUUUAGAAGAAAGGCCAUUCAUGUGGAAUGACUUCAAUUUUCUCAGUAAAGUAGGAGGCAAGAAAGACCCUAAACUCCUUAGCCUAUUUCUCAGUCUUCCAAAGAGCUGAAGCCUCCCCACCCUUCCCUUGUACUUCUCUGGCCUUAGUUUCCAUCCUCCACAGUUUUGACUCCAUAGCCAAGCCAUGCUCCAAAGGCACCAUCAUUUACCCUUGAAGCUCCUGCCCCCCCCAUACUCUUCUGUCAUUCAUGCCAGGCUGA